rnacentral:rRNA from 1 species
CCUACGGGAGGCAGCAGUGGGGAAUAUUGGACAAUGGGCGAAAGCCUGAUCCAGCCAUGCCGCGUGUGUGAAGAAGGCCUUCGGGUUGUAAAGCACUUUCAGUGGGGAAGAAAGCCUUGGGGCCAAUACCCUCGAGGAAGGACAUCACCCACAGAAGAAGCACCGGCUAACUCCGUGCCAGCAGCCGCGGUAAUACGGAGGGUGCGAGCGUUAAUCGGAAUUACUGGGCGUAAAGCGCGCGUAGGCGGUCUGAUAAGCCGGUUGUGAAAGCCCCGGGCUCAACCUGGGAACGGCAUCCGGAACUGUCAGGCUAGAGUGCAGGAGAGGAAAGUAGAAUUCCCGGUGUAGCGGUGAAAUGCGUAGAGAUCGGGAGGAAUACCAGUGGCGAAGGCGGCCUUCUGGACUGACACUGACGCUGAGGUGCGAAAGCGUGGGUAGCAAACAGGAUUAGAUACCCCAGUAGUC